UACGGAGGAUCCGAGCGUUAUCCGGAUUUAUUGGGUUUAAAGGGUGCGUAGGCGGCCUGUUAAGUCAGGGGUGAAAGACGGUGGCUCAACCAUCGCAGUGCCCUUGAUACUGAUGGGCUUGAAUGGACUAGAGGUAGGCGGAAUGUGACAAGUAGCGGUGAAAUGCAUAGAUAUGUCACAGAACACCGAUUGCGAAGGCAGCUUACUAUGGUCUGAUUGACGCUGAGGCACGAAAGCGUGGGGAUCGAACAGG
rnacentral:rRNA from 1 species